GGAAACCGAGGUAGGGGCCCGUGCUAACUACACGGGGUGGUAAAAGAAUGUAUGGAUACUCCCUCCGGGGAACUAUGGAUAAUCCGCAGCGAAGACCCUAAGUAGCGCUAGCUAUAUGGGUAACGUUCACAGACUAAGUGGUUGUGGGUGGAGCCUAGCUCUGCUUAAGAUAUAGUCGGGCCCUGCGUGAAAGCGUGGGGGUGAGUCGCUACGAACUCGAACCGUUCCGUAGGUGAACCUGCGGAAGGAUCAUUACAGUAGUCGCCCGGGUUGCCGCAAGGCCUCCCGGGUAACCUACCACCCUUUGUUUAUUACACUUUGUUGCUUUGGCAAGCCUGCCCUCGGGCUGCUGGCUCCGGCCGGCGAGCGCUUGCCAGAGGACCUAAACUCUGUUUGUUUAUACUGUCUGAGUACUAUAUAAUAGUUAAAACUUUCAACAACGGAUCUCUUGGUUCUGGCAUCGAUGAAGAACGCAGCGAAAUGCGAUAAGUAAUGUGAAUUGCAGAAUUCAGUGAAUCAUCGAAUCUUUGAACGCACAUUGCGCCCCCUGGUAUUCCGGGGGGCAUGCCUGUCCGAGCGUCAUUACAACCCUCAAGCUCAGCUUGGUGUUGGGCCCCGCCGCCCCGGCGGGCCCUAAAGUCAGUGGCGGUGCCGUCCGGCUCCGAGCGUAGUAAUUCUUCUCGCUCUGGAGGUCCGGUCGUGUGCUCGCCAGCAACCCCCAAUUUAUCAGGUGAC
rnacentral:rRNA from 1 species